GACGAACGCUGGCGGCGUGCCUAAUACAUGCAAGUCGAACGCAGUGGGGACGGGUGAGUAACACGUGGGUAACCUCCCAUCAGAGGGGAUAACACUUGGAAACAGGUGCUAAACCGAUACUGAUGGAUGGCCCCGCGGUGUAUUAACUAGUUGGUGAGGGAACGGCUCACCAAGGCCACGAUGCAUAGCCGGCCUGAGAGGGUGAUCGGCCACACUGGGACUGAGACACGGCCCAGACUCCUACGGGAGGCAGCAGUAGGGAAUCGUCGGCUAUGGACGAAAGUCUGACCGAGCAACGACGCGUGAGUGAAGAAGGUCUUCGGGUCGUAAAACGCUGUUGUUAGAGAAGCGGUAUCUAACCAGAAAGCGACGGCUAACUACGUGCCAGCAGCCGCGGUAAUAC
rnacentral:rRNA from 1 species